GACUCAUUCUGGUACCAUGUUCGUGUAAAGUUUACACUGAUAAAGUAUGGAUUGAUGUGAAUACUGAUCUUUUUAUUGCUAAUAUACCACCAUUCACACUAAAACAAAAAUACAUAAUUACUGGACCCAUACUUCAGUUCUAUGAUAUCUAACAAUACAUCAUAAUAUUCAAUCUCUUCUUUUUCUUCAUAUCCUAUCAUAGCAAUCUCACUAUUCUGGAUCCAUCGUUGCAUCUCAAGCUUCUUUGUAUAAAAUCUCAUUUCUCCAAUAAUACAGGAUGCGUAGUAGUUAAUCC
rnacentral:lncRNA from 1 species